CUCGAGGCAGGACAAAGACACGUUUCCAGGAACAGUGUGACCGAGCAGAUGUUUCUGCUCUGGGAGGAGGAGAAGAAAGAGGAGGAGAAGAAAGAGGAGGAGAAGAAGACGAGUGGGUGUUUGUGCUGCAGAAGAAGAAGCUUCCUCUCUGACGGCUCCUCCCCCUCAGAUAUGGCUGAAGAUGUCUGAGAACUCUUGUCUUUUGUUGACGUCACGUGACUUCAGGACGUCGUGCGUCUUCCAAUCAGCUGAUGACAGCGUCCUGGAGAUGCUGAGUUACUCUAAGUUCUCCGACCUGGAGACAUGGCUGUGCACGCCGUCUUCGCUGCUGUUGCCCCGGGCGCUGGACUCAGCAUUCACCUCGUCCUCUUCCUCCGCCUCUUCUUCCUCACAUGCAUCCAACCACUCCUCCUCCUCGCCGGCCUCCAACUCCCGUCGCUCCACCGUCAGCGAGC